AGAAUCUAGUUCUAAUAUCCUGUCUCCUGACUAGUUCUAGAACAGUAGGGAUAGGUCUGGUUGGUAUCCUCUCCACCUGUACUAGUUUAGUAGCAGGUUUCUCUAUACAUACAGAGGAUAUACCUCCUUGGUGUACAUGGAUCAGGUAUAUUUCCCUCCAGUAUUGGGUGAUGGAUCCCCUCCUCUCCGGAGAUUUUACUCCGAUCUCAACCUUCUACUGCCACAACAACCCUAUGAUAACCGACUCCGGGAUCAUCAAACAGAUAGCAUGCGGACUCCCUACCGGAGCACAAGCUUUACAGUACUUCCAUCAUCCGAUUUCAACCUUGACAGGGUUGAGUUCUCUUAACUCUACCUCUCCUCUAAUACUUUCCGUAGCGAUCUGUCUGAUCGCAUCCUUAGGCAUAAUUAUUUUCUCAUUUGUAAUUUUUCUAUUUAAACAACCAGCAAAAAAAACCUCUUCCAUAACUCUACUAUAGAAUAUAAAGUGCUUUACUUGAUAAUUAUACUCGCUUUUAGAUAAAUGUAUAUUUUUGUACUACUCGGUGUACAGUAUGUAUGAUAUUGUGUACAGUGAGCUGUACUGUAAUUGUGCAUUGUACCCUGUACAAUAGAGACCAAAUUUACAUUGGACAUUUGUAAAUUUUAGUUUUGUAAAAAAA